rnacentral:rRNA from 1 species
AUUGAACGCUGGCGGCAGGCCUAACACAUGCAAGUCGAACGAGUGGCUGACGGGUGAGUACUGUCUGGGAAACUGCAUGAUGGAGGGGGAUAACUACUGGAAACGGUAGCUAAUAACGCAUACCAUCGGAUGUGCCCAGAUGGGAUUAGCUAGUAGGUGGGGUAAAGGCUCAUCUAGGCGACGAUCCCUAGCUGGUCUGAGAGGAUGAUCAGUCACACUUGAACUAAUACACGGUCCAGAGUCCUACGGGACGUAGCAGUGGGGAAUAUUGGACAAUGGUCGAUAGCCUGUUCCAGCGAUGCCGCGUGUGUGAAUAAGGUCUUCGGAUUGUAAAGCACUUUAAGUUGGGAGGCGUUACCAACAGAAUAAGCGCCGGCUAACUUCGUGCCAGCAGCGGCGGUAAUAC